GUGCUCACUUCAGCAGCACAUAAGCUAAAACUGGAACGAUACAGAGAAGAUUAGUAUGGCCCCUGUGCAAGGAUGACACACAAAUUGGUGAAGCAUUCCAUAUUAAA